CUUGAAUGGUACACGUUGCUUCUCUAUGUAAAAAGAAGACCAAGGAAUUCAUUCUUCCAGUACAAAUAUUUUCUUGAAUGAAAGUUCUGCGGUUUUAACACACCCUGAUGGCAGCAUGGCUUGGCCAAACGACCCGGAAAUGUCUCUUUAAAUGUAUCACACCCUUCUAGAUUCUUUACUUGAGAAUGCAUAUCUAUCAUUAAAAUCUUUUAUCUCUGUGCUAACCAGCAGCUCAAAUACUUCUACAUACCAAGGAGAGAGGGGGAGAGUGAGAAAGAAAGGAAGAAAGAACUAAGGAAUUGAAACAUGCUUUUUGACAUGUGUGUCUGUGUGUGUUUGUUAUAUUAACUGGUGUGUUAUUGACGAGGCAAUAAUGCAUGGAUCACCUCUGUGCAGUCCGGGGUCCAUAAUGUACAUGUCCAGUCAAUUUAAUAUUAGUGGGAGUUACACUUGGGAUGCUCCGGGACGGAUUUGCCCUGUUUGCUGCCCAGAUAGGGUGCAUUAAGGCCAUUUCCUUAAUGCCAACCAAUGUUCGUAUGGAAUUGUGCAUCACAGACACACACUGACACAAGCACUCAAUGACACAAGCACUCACUGAUGCAAGCACACACUGACACAAAGACACAGACAUGCACUCUCUCACGCAAGCACACACACUGACAUAAGCACAUAAUGGCACAAUAACACAUUUACACAAGCACAUACUGUCACAAGAUCAUAUUGCCACAAGCACACACUGUCACAAGCACAUAAUGACAGAAGAACACAUUGACACAAGCACACACUGUCACAAGCACUCACACUGACAAAAAACACAGACAGAAGAACACAUUGACACAAGCACACACUGUCUCAAGAACACAUUGACACAAGCACUCACACUGACACAAGCACACAUUGCAUGCUCUCAUGCAAACUUGUUCUUACCACCAGCAGUAGACUAAAUAUGUUGAGGUAGACUGUUUAAUCGUUCUUCUCUGCAAUGUGCAGCCAUGUUUUCAUGAAGUGGUGGAAGAGAGCCAGGAGUAAUGAAAAACACGACAGCGGAGUGAAGGGGCGGGGCUACGGACGACCAAUGGAUUGCAUCAUCACAAGGCCUAUAACCUGCUCUAGCCUGACAGAUUUUCUGAAAUCAUUCCCUGAUUGCACAGUAAGGCAAGUCAUGCCUGUGUUCCCCUGUAACCCACAAUGCAUAGCUUGCCUGGUGAGCCCACACACACAAUGCAGGCAAUGGUAAAACCCAUAGUUCUGUACUGCAAUCAGACAGCCACUAGAGUCACUUUCUGAUUGUUAGGUGACUUUUUGUCACCUAACUGUUCUGGACAUCCUCAACCCCUCAGGAAAACAUUGCAGCAAUGCUUUCCUCUCAAGAGUGCCUAACGCGCUUGCAGUAAUGACCGCGCAUGAGCAUUAGACCCACCCCCAUUGGAUGAUGUCAUAGGAAGCGGAAUGUUGACCCCCAGAGGUUUAUUAACCCUUACAGUGUGUGUGUGGGGGAGGCUAUAGACAGCUAUAGUGCUAGGAUUACAGCUUUUUGUUUACUCAAUAAUUGUCAUGAAUACAAAUUGAAUCCAAAGUGAAUUUCAACUUUUAAACCAAAAUAGCCAAAUCGGAAGCGCACAGACUUGGACAAUUUUUCCAUUUCAUCUAUUUUGGACUUAAAUUUGAAAUGCACUUCGAAUUCACAACAAUUCCUACUUCAGUAAAUAACACUGUUAAGCUAAUCUAAAAAUAUCAUGUGAUAUAAAAGAUACCAAACGGUGAAGCAUGCUUCCUACUAUGGGGGAAAAAAUUACUGUUUUAAAAAAACUUAAAAUAAAACAUAAAAGAAUAUAAAUAAAAAAAAAUCUUGUGUGAACACAAAAAAAAUAAAGCUGAUUAUUUUACUCUUUCCCUCUUUGAAGACGUGUAAAGGUGGCUUAGAGCUUUCAGUUUACAAGCUAUUUCUAUACAUUUUCUACCAGUUUAUAAAGUUAUCACAUAUACAGUAUUUGCACACCAGGCGCACUUACGGCUCUUCUGUCUGAGUGUUUUGUUUUUGUAAUAAGCAUCCAAGUUCACCAUUUGCGAGAAACAGCUGGUUAGCCUAAUGUAUCGAAUGACUUAACAGCAUUAAAUUCACUUAUCCCAGACAGAUGCAAAGACAAAAAGAAGAACAAUGCGGGAAAGUGACACGGAGACGGAGGAGGGCCCUUUGAAAGAAACAUGCGGUGAUGAGAAGGCAUUAAACCAGGGCGUAUUUGUGAAACGACCAGAUCUGUGAAGCUGGUUAAACCACUUUCAUUUGUUUUAUGUGACAUUUUCAUUGUAGGAGAAAAUGUAAAGAUCUAAUUCAUAAACGUCUGUCAUACUUAGAGGAGCCAAUAGCAGCUUGUAUGCAGUGUAACAGCUGGUUAGUACAAGCCCGCAUUAGCAUCAACCAGUUGUAACCCAUUUUCUAAUUGAAAAGCGGCCAAUAAAUUGAAUUGUGCAUAGGAAUGCAUUAGGGAGCUUUCGGAGAGUAAAGGAGAAUUAGCAUUUUCUGGAAGCAGUUACACACACAGACACAUUUUUACACCAGCCUCCUAGGCAAAGGAGAAUUUAUUUGAUUUUUUUUAACGCAUUUAAUUACAAAGUCAAAAUACCUAAACGGCAUGGGACACUCGUUAAAGGGACACUUUGGCCUCAAAUUCUUGCUAUAGUUUUCUCUCUGUUCCAUUUAGCAUAUUACAUAAUAAUCCAGUUCAGACUAGGGAAAGCCAGGGUUUACAUUGCCAGUGAAGAGGAGAAAUAGAAACAUUGUUUUGUUACUUCUUUUUCGUCAAUGUUUUCUUCGUGCUGACUGACAGGUGCACAGGACAUAGCUAAUAACAGUGAUUGACAAGGGGCUAAGAUGGAGGUGCCCAUUUGCAGCAAUAUGAGGUGGGGAUUUUUAAUUAAAAUUUUAUUUUUUCUAACUUCAAUGACACAUUAUUUAUUAAAUAUAGGGAUAGGCAAACAUAAUAUUAACAAUUUUGGUAGGAGUUAAUUGCUGCCCAGGUAGGGUCAUUAUCUACUGUUUUAGUGAACACAAAUUUCAUCAUGUUGAUUGACACCUUUUAGUAUGUAGAAUUGAUGGUGGGAGGACAGGUGCUGUGGUGUGGGUGAUAGGGGCUCUAGUGGGAGGACAGGUGCUGUGGGGCGGGGAUAGUGUCUGUGGUGAAGGAUAGUGGGGGAGUAGGUGGAGGAUAGGGGCUGUGGUGUGGGGGAUAGGGUCUGAAGUGGGGGUGGGGAGGUAGUAGCGUUAUUUGGGGAGUAGGUGGAGGAUAGGGGCUGCAGUGGGAGUAAAGGGGUUGUGGUGUGGGGGAUAAGGUCUGUAGCAGGGGGUGGGGAGGGGGUAGUAGCCAUAGUGGGGGAGUAGGUGGAGAAAAGUGGCUGUGGUGUGGGGGAUAGGGUCUGUAGGGGGUGGGGAGGGGUAGAAACCAUAGUGGGGGAGUAGGUGGAGGAUAGGGGCGUAGUGGGAGGAAAGGGGCUGUGGUGUGGGGAUAGGGUCUCUAGUGGGGGGUAGUAGCCAUAGUGGGGAGUAGGUGGAGGAUAGGGGCUGCUGAGUGGGAGGAAAGGGGCUGUGGGUGGGGAUAGGUCUGUAGGAGGGAGUGGGGAGGGUAGUAGCCAUAGUGGGGAGUAGGUGGAGGAAAGAGGGGUGUGAGGGGGUGGGGAGUAGGUGCAGGAUAGGGGCUGUAGUAGGAGGAAAGGGGCUGUGGUGUGGGGAUAGGGUCUCUAGUGGAGGGUAGUAGCCAUAGUGGGGAGUAGGUGGAGGGAUAGGGGCUGUAGUGGGAGGAAAGGGGGCUGUGGUGUGGGGAUAGGGUCUCUGAGUGGGGGUGGGGGUAGUAGCCAUAGUGGGGGAGUAGGUGGAGGACAGGGGCUGUAGUGGUAUUAGGAACUAUAGUGGGGAUAGGGGCUGUGGUGGAAAUAGGGGCUGCAGUGGUGGGGAAAGGGGAUGUAGUGGGGGAGAGGGGCCUUUAAUGAGAGUACCGGGACUGUAGUUGGAGGACAGGGGUUGUAGUGGGCAAAUAUGAGCUGUAGUGAGGGGGAAGUGACUAUUGUGGAAGGACAGGGGCUGUAGUGGGUGAGCUAUAGUGGCUGUAGUAGGGGCAUUAAUGAGAGGACUGGGACUGUAGAGUUUGUCAAUGGCAGCCUAAAUUUUUUUUUUUUUAAUUAAAACAAAAACACCUAAAUUGUAUUCCUGUGUCCCUGAUGCUUUUUAUGGGCUGAGGAGGAGGGAACCUGAACCCUGGUGGUCUGGUGGGAGAUGCUGCUGUCUGCACCACAGAAGGCACAUACAGCUCCUUCUAACCAGGUGAUUUGUAUCAGAGUAUUGCACAGGUAGCCUGCGGAAACGCUGUCAAACAAUAAAAUCUCAUCUAUAUUUGAGUACCAGCCUUGCAGGAGAUCUCCUUGUUGGCUUGGUCUCACGGCAGGAGGAUGGGCUAGCUGUUGAGGGACAUCUUUGAUCUCCCCACCAACAUUGAUACCCUCUCCUGCCUGCUGCUCCGAGGCCAUGGCUUCAAUAUCCUUUGGCCUUGACUCCAAGUGUACCUGCAGUGUGCUUUUAACCUUACUGUGACAUUACAUAGUUUUUGCAUAACAAAUCGUCUUUACUUCAUACACCACGUGAAAGGAUAUUUUGCCAACCUGUAAUGUUAGUGUUUACAGUAAAUGUACAGAAAGCAAGUUUUUUCUUUUAUCAAAACAUCUCUAUGAAAUGCUCAUGAAAACUGUGUUGGAACAAAGUAGGGAGCUGCUGCCAUCAAGUUUGGUCACUUCCCUUAUUUGUGGGAAUAAAGCAUUAUUUUUGCUAAUUGGAGGCCCCGGCAGUCAUGGAUCCUCCAUAGACAUCAGUGUAGUACUAUAGCAUGUGUGUGAAAGUACAGUACUGACGUGAUCUCUUGGCAGAUCAAAUGCCAGGAACUGAAAAAGGUGGAAGCAGUUACGGGGGACAUUGUAGGGUAAAUAGAACAAACCUUCGCUGCACCCCUGGGCUGUGACACACCAUGCAGUGAUGUCAUUGUUGGCGCCUUUGUAGCAUAUGCAAAGACCCCAGAAGUUGGAAGACGCUUUAAAGCACAAAUUCAGAUUGUAAUGUUCCAAUGCACUUUUCAGGGUGUGAUCAAUACCAAAGUGUUUUAAUCCCCUUCAAAUAAUAGGACGAGAACUUACCCAAAGACCAUUAUGAGAUAUAACAUAUGAUCUGACUCUUAAUCCUAUCAGGACAUACUGGAUAUAUAACAUGCUGUGUCCCAUGAUCACUUUUAAUUUUUAAAUGAGAAGUUAUCCAUUCACUGGUUCCUACUGACACAGGGAUAUUAUGGACUUGUGACACUGCUAAACAUUUUCACUACUGCCCAUUUCACACCAUUUAACCUUUGGGUCCUUAUAUUUAUUCAAUAAGGCAUUGUAGGUAAUCAAAGCAUUGUUCCAUGAAAACAGUUAAAAUUAAUUCCAACAAAAAGGAAAAGGUAUUCAGAGUAUAUGCCCAAUUUCAUGAUGUUUUUUUUUUUUAGAACAUAGUACUAUACCUAGUCUAAAUAUAUUCAACUUAGUUUAUCAGAUACAUAAUACUCAUUCUUUUCUAAACUGCUACAUUUAAGACUUAUGGAACACCAGAAAAAUAUAAUGUAUGUGUUGGUAACCCAUCUAUUCAUUUUCAAUAGAUACCCAAUCCAAUGUUCUGUAGGAGUUGUGUUUCAGUUAUAGCAAUGGCAACACUACCAGCUUUUAUUGUGAGGAACCAUGUUAGGCUAUAGAACUACAUUCAGGUCAGAAGUAAACAGGAAGUAUAAGGCAAUACGGUAUUACCAUAAGCUAACAGAGUUACAGUAUUUGUAUAAUAAUGCCAAACAGCAUGUUGGGGAGUCUACUUGUUAUUUAAAAAGUUAGUUAGCAAAAACUCCAGGUUGAAAACUCCAGGCUUGAAACUCCUGGCAGACACUUGCUUUCCCCUGGAUUGAACCUUGUCGGAAUACAGGCAAUUGCCAAUUUCCAUUAAGAUACUACUGAGUUCUCUCGAUUUUACUGGCACUCUGCCACACUCUGUAGAUCAGAGUUUUGAGCAUGAUAAAGUUAGAAAUUCCAAUCUCAGAUGGUGAAAUUGUGGAAGGAGAAUAUAUUAAUGGAGAAGGUGUCCUAGCAUUGUUUGACUGCCUAUAUAAGUUUUUACAGUGCAGCACAUGCCCCAGAACAUUAAAUGAGCUCAGUUUGUAGAACUGUACCAGCACAUCAGAUGUUAUAUUUUAAGCUAAUUAUUUGUAGUUUGGCUUACGAUAAGGAGGAAAAAGGCUGGUGGGUCCCCUAUGUAAUUUACUAUUCCCAUAAAUUGUUCUAGAAAAUAGCUGGAAAGAUAAUUAUCAAAUUUCAAUACGACAAUUAUCAGCUUGGGAGUCAAUUUGGCGCAACUCAUAUUGUGAAUGUGAGUUUAAUUAGCCUGCUGUAUUCCUCCAAGGAUGAAUGCUAAUACCUAAUUGAAGGAUUCCGGCAGAACGUAGAAUUGAAUCCACACGUGCUCAUUUGUGUGCUAUUUCCAGUAAGGAACCCAGAUGUAACCUGGUUCAAACAUAGCCACGUUUUAACAAGAGGGGACAGGAUAUUAAACAAACACAGAGCAUUGUACAAAUAUUUAGCUCCCACUGUUUAGGAAUUGCAAGCAGCUGGAAAAAAAGAAAUGAAAGCUGAAGAAGCUGCAACCUUCUCUUGUCUGACACUACAUCUCUAAAACCUUUGGCGAGGUGAGAGCCAUUGUUUGAAAUUUCCACCAGCAUAAACUUGGCAGCUGGCUGUUAUAUUGUUGAGGGACUUGGCUCUUUCUGAUCAUUGAAGUGUUCACACUAACAUCCUGUAGCAGCUCCACCACAUGAUAUAUGACCCCUUAGGACAUAGUGGUUAAGAAAAUAAUUCAUGAUUGAAAAUAGAAGAUAUCAGCGUGGAGGUGGAGAUCAGGCCCGUCACGGUGACCUUAAACUUCAGGUUACAAUGUUUACUAACAUUGUCAAGAUAAUCCCUUUAAAAGGAUUAACAUAAACUUGUCUCCUCUUUGUGUAAUGUGCUGGUUAUUGUUGUACUUUUCUGUUAACUUUAACUACUGGAUUCCUUUUAAGUUGGGCCAGUGUGGGACUCUAAAUGUAACCCUUCCCUAUCACACCAAGAAAGUUAUGGUGGGGAAAAAUUGUGAUUGAAAACCCCUUGCACCUGAAGUCAGUGGAUAGUCAAUACAAUGUUAAACAUAUAUCUGCACAUACGUCAAGCCAUAAGACUUGCUUUUCCCAUAGAAAUUACAAAAUUGCAGUGUUGUUACUACUGCAAUGGAUUCUGGGUGGACAUAUGCAAAUUAGUUCAACAAAGAAUCACAUUCUUACCUCAUUAUUCCAUUUUACACAAGGAUUCCUUGGAGUUUGUGUUUGCUGUAUACAGCAGCUUUGAAACACAACUCAAUAUAUCUAUUUAGUUGACUUAUGUUUGGACUAUGGCCUAUAGUUUGCUAUUUAUAGUUACAUAAUAGUAUAGGUUGAAGAAGACAAAAGUCCAUCUAGUUCAUGUUUGUUCCACACACCUGUUUAUGCUGUCAAAAUGGAAUAGUUGAUCUUUGUCCAAACCAAAUCUUUUCAUAGAGCGUUGGGAACCUAUUGCAUAUGCAAUUGCCGCAAUUUCAAUGCACCUUAUAGCGAUGCCCUCAGACUCACUUUCAGUGAGUGAUCAAGAGAGUGAGAAGAGGCACCCUGUCUAAUUGACAGCCAGGAGACUUUUAUAAAAUAUGAAAGAGGGGACCUUCUGUGGACUCCUAAACUUCUUCAGCAAGACAGGAUUUUCCUAUUCAAUUAUUUUUCUUGAUACAUUUUUCAAUAAUAGUAAUAGUAAUCAUAACAAAAGAAAAUGUAGCACUGCCAUCAAACAGGGGAAUAUUAAUGUAUAUUUACAUCUAUUGAUAUGUCAUAUAAUAUUGAAAGUCACAAUGAACAUGUCAAUAUUAUAUAUAUAUAUUAUAGAAAGAAAUGCUUGUCUUUGAGAAAGACUGGAUUUUCCUUUAACAUUAACAAAGUAACACUGCAUAGAUAAAAAGGCAUGUGGGCAUCCAUUUUAAUUAGUGGAUGUGGCAAUAUGUCUCUUACCCAUUUUUGACAGGUCCAUUAAAUCAGUCAAGCCAUAGAAUGCCCUGUACUGCAGCUCUGUGUCGUUCAAAAUGGCUGCAAUAGGAUGCCAACUUCUCAACUCUUCAAGCCUGACUGCAUAGUGCCAUCUACAACGUUUAAUGGAAGAGGAAUAAUGUGCACUUUUAUAUGGUGCAAACUUGUCCCUUUAAUGGUUAGAGCUGUGGUAAUCAUAGUAUGGUAAAGAAAAGCAUUCCUAGAAAUGUAUGAAAAAAAGAGAAAUAGGUACAUAUAUUCAGCUUAGGACCUGAUUAAAGUUUUCUGUUAAAAUUGAAACACGAACUUGAAUUCAGCUAUUUUUUAUUUUGCAGUAAUACUGGGAUUGUUGGUCUUUUGUUAAUUUCUAAUUCUGCUCUUCUGACCACUGGCAG
rnacentral:lncRNA from 1 species